rnacentral:ncRNA from 2 species
UGACAUCUCGCGGGAGAGACCGGCCCCCUGUGGGCUACCUGCUAGGACCGGCGCCGAAGGAGCAACCGCCCCCGGAAACUCUCAGGCAAAAGGACCGCGAGGAAGAA